rnacentral:rRNA from 1 species
CCUACGGGGGGCAGCAGUGAGGAAUAUUGGUCAAUGGUCGAGAGCCUGAACCAGCCAAGCCGCGUGAGGGAUGAAGGUACUGCGUAUUGUAAACUUCUUUUGUCAGGGAAUAAAGUUAGGGACGUGUCCCUCGAUGAAUGUACUUUAUGAAUAAGCAUCGGCUAACUCCGUGCCAGCAGCCGCGGUAAUACGGAGGGUCCGAGCGGUAUCCGGAUUUAUUGGGGUUAAAGGGUGCGUAGUGGGGUUGUUAAGUCAGGUGUGAAAGCCCGGGGCGCAACCCUGGAACUGCGGUUGAAACGGGCAGUCUAGAGUUGGGGAGAGGUAUGCGGAAUGCGAGGUGUAGCGGUGAAAUGCAUAGAGAUCAGAAAGAACACCGAUUGCGAAGGCAGCUUACUAAACUAUAACUGACGUUGAGGCACGAAAGCGUGGGUAGCAAACAGGAUUAGAUACCCUAGUAGUC